rnacentral:misc_RNA from 1 species
UACGUAGGUGGCGAGCGUUAUCCGGAUUUACUGGGUGUAAAGGGUGUGUAGGCGGGCUUGCAAGUCAGAUGUGAAACCUAUGGGCUCAACCCAUAGCCUGCAUUUGAAACUGUAGGUCUUGAGAGUGGGAGAGGUAAAUAGAAUUCCCGGUGUAGCGGUGAAAUGCGUAGAUAUCGGGAGGAAUACCGGUGGCGAAGGCGAUUUACUGGACCAUUACUGACGCUGAGACACGAAAGCGUGGGGAGCAAACAGG